CUUACCUUUCUCCAGCGUCGGGCUCCCUUGGCGCUGGUGACCUCUCCUCCCCCGCCGAUGUCAGAUCCGAAUGCGGCAAGAGCCGUGUGCGCAUUCAAACUGCCCAUAGGAAAGCAUUACUUAAUGCUUUCCUAUGGACGUCCAGCGUCUUCUCACAGUGAGUUUUACAGUGAGAAUUGCCGAAGCCCCUCUAGCGGCUGUCAGUGAGACAGCCACUAGAGGCUGGAUUAACCCUCAGUGAAACAUAUGGUUUCAGCUGCAGGGUUAAAACUAGAGGGACCUGGCACCCAGACCACUUCAUUGAGCCGAUCCUUAGAAAUAGCAUAGGAAAGGGAUUUGGGUUCAAAAGAUGUAGCGGCUAGGGCAGAGGUUUUGUAGAAGGGGGCCAGUGCUUUUGUAGAAAGGGGCUUGUGAGAAACUUCUAUAAAACUCCUCCCCUGCUCAUUUAUUUAUUUAUUAUUGCCAUUUAUUUAGCGCCAACAGAUUCCGUAGCGCUUUACAAUAUUAUGAGAGGGGAUUUAACUAUAAAUAGGACAAUUACAAAUAAACUUACAGGAACAAUAGGUUGAAGAGGACCCUGCUCGAUCGAGCUUCUUUCUACAAAGCCCCUGGUCUCGCCCCUUCUAGAAAACCCCUGCCCUUCGCCCUUCAUAAAAAAAACCUGCACACUGAUCACAUAAAUUUCAUACACUCCCUACACAUAAAAACCCUGCACACCCCCUUUAAUAAAAAACAAAAACCUGCACAACCCCCUUAAUUAAAAAAAAUCUUGCACACCCCUCUUAAUAAAAAAACCUUCACACCCCCUUAAUAAAAAAAAACAUGCACAACCCUCUUAAUAAAAAACCCUGCACACCCCCUUAAUAAAAACCCUGCACACCCCCUUAAUAAAAAACAAAAACUUCCACAACCCCCCUAAUAACAAAAACAUGCACACCCCCCUUAAUAAAAACCAUGCACACCCCAUAAUAAAAAACAGAAAUCUGCAGUGCACAUCCUCCCUUAAUAAAUAAAAUACUGCAACCCCCUUAAUUAAAAAAAACCCUGCACCCCCCUUAAUAAAAAACAAAAACCUGCAGUGCAUAUCCUACCUUAAUAAAUAAAAUACUGCAACCCCCUUAAUUAAAAAAAACCCUGCACACCCCCUUAAUAAAAAACAAAAACUUGCACAACCCCCCUAAUAACAAAAAACAUGCACACCCCCUUAAUCAAAAC